GAUGAACGCUGGCGGCGUGCCUAAUACAUGCAAGUCGAGCGAACGGACGAGAAGCUUGCUUCUCUGAUGUUAGCGGCGGACGGGUGAGUAACACGUGGAUAACCUACCUAUAAGACUGGGAUAACUUCGGGAAACCGGAGCUAAUACCGGAUAAUAUUUUGAACCGCAUGGUUCAAAAGUGAAAGACGGUCUUGCUGUCACUUAUAGAUGGAUCCGCGCUGCAUUAGCUAGUUGGUAAGGUAACGGCUUACCAAGGCAACGAUGCAUAGCCGACCUGAGAGGGUGAUAGGCCACACUGGACCUGAGACACGGUCCAGACUCCUACGGGAGGCAGCAGUAGGGAAUCUUCCGCAAUGGGCGAAAGCCUGACGGAGCAACGCCGCGUGAGUGAUGAAGGUCUUCGGAUCGUAAAACUCUGUUAUUAGGGAAGAACAUAUGUGUAAGUAACUGUGCACAUCUUGACGGUACCUAAUCAGAAAGCCACGGCUAACUACGUG
rnacentral:rRNA from 1 species